UGGGGAAUAUUGGACAAUGGGGGAAACCCUGAUCCAGCCAUGCCGCGUGUGUGAAGAAGGUCUUCGGAUUGUAAAGCACUUUAAGUUGGGAGGAAGGGCUUGUGGUUAAUAUCUGCAAGUUUUGACGUUACCGACAGAAUAAGCACCGGCUAACUCUGUGCCAGCAGCCGCGGUAAUACAGAGGGUGCAAGCGUUAAUCGGAAUUACUGGGCGUAAAGCGCGCGUAGGUGGUUCAGUAAGAUGGGAGUGAAAUCCCCGGGCUCAACCUGGGAACUGCUUUCAUAACUGCUGGGCUAGAGUACGGUAGAGGGUAGUGGAAUUUCCUGUGUAGCGGUGAAAUGCGUAGAUAUAGGAAGGAACACCAGUGGCGAAGGCGACUACCUGGACUGAUACUGACACUGAGGUGCGAAAGCGUGGGGAGCAAACAGG
rnacentral:rRNA from 2 species